rnacentral:tRNA from 1 species
GGGGAUUUAGCUCAAUGGUUAGAGCGCUUGCCUAGGAAGCGCAAGGCCCUGGGUUCGGUCCCCAGCUCCG